UACGAGAGCCCCAAGCGUUAUCCGGAAUUAUUGGGCGUAAAGGGUAUGUAGGCGGCAUUGUUAGUCUUUCGUUAAAUUCUUCGGCUUAACCGGGGGCAUGCGAGAGAUACGGCAACGCUAGAGGAUGCGAGAGGUACAUGGAACUCAUAGUGUAGGGGUGAAAUCCGUUGAUAUUAUGGGGAACACCGAAUGCGAAGGCAAUGUACUGGCGCACUCCUGACGCUGAAAUACGAAAGCGUGGGUAGCGAAUGGG
rnacentral:rRNA from 1 species